UGCACUCGAUCGCGCUCAACCUUGUAGCAAUACAGGGGGCGGGCGCGUGGCGAACGGGUGCGUAACACGUGGAUAACCUUCCUUUAGGUGGGGAAUAACCCCGCGAAAGCGGGGCUAAUACCGCAUAACAUGACGAUGGCACAUGCUGUUGUCUUCAAAGCCGCAAGGCGCCAGAAGAGGGAUCCGCGGCCGAUUAGCUAGUUGGCGAGGUAAUGGCUCACCAAGGCAAUGAUCGGUAGCCGGUCUGAGAGGAUGAUCGGCCACACUGGAACUGAGACACGGUCCAGACUCCUACGGGAGGCAGCAGUGGGGAAUCUUGCGCAAUGGGCGAAAGCCUGACGCAGCAACGCCGCGUGGGGGAUGAAGCUUCUCGGAGUGUAAACCCCUUUCGACCCGGACGAAUGCCCGCAAGGGUUUGACGGUACGGGUAUAAGAAGCCCCGGCUAACUACGUGCCAGCAGCCGCGGUAAAACGUAGGGGGCCAGCGUUGCUCGGAAUUACUGGGCGUAAAGGGUCCGUAGGCGGUGUGGCAAGUCGGAAGUGAAAUCUCUGGGCUUAACCCAGAGGCUGCUUCCGAAACUGCUGUGCUAGAGUGCGAGAGAGGCGAGUGGAAUUGCGGGUGUAGCGGUGAAAUGCGUAGAUAUCCGCAGGAACAUCCGAGGCGAAAGCGGCUCGCUGGAUCGCAACUGACGCUGAGGGACGAAAGCUAGGGGAGCAAACAGGAUUAGAUACCCUGGUAGUCCUAGCCCUAAACCAUCAGGACUUGGGGUUUGCCCUGUACGGGGCAAGUCCCGUAGCUAACGCGUUAAGUCCUGCGCCUGGGGAGUACGGUCGCAAGGCUGAAACUCAAAAG
rnacentral:rRNA from 1 species